CGGGGUGUCGUAUAACGGUUAUUAUGCCAGGCUGGGGGUCUGGCGAUCGGGGUUCGACUCCCCGCACCCCGA
rnacentral:tRNA from 2 species